GAUCCUGGCUCAGGAUGAACGCUGGCGGCGUGCCUAACACAUGCAAGUCGAACGGGGUUAUUUUGGAAAAUCCUUCGGGAUUGGAAUUCUUAACCUAGUGGCGGACGGGUGAGUAACGCGUGAGCAAUCUGCCUUUAAGAGGGGGAUAACAGUCGGAAACGGCUGCUAAUACCGCAUAAAGCAUUGAAUUCGCAUGUUUUCGAUGCCAAAGGAGCAAUCCGCUUUUAGAUGAGCUCGCGUCUGAUUAG
rnacentral:rRNA from 1 species